AUUGAACGCUGGCGGCAGGCCUAACACAUGCAAGUCGAGCGGAUGAAGGGAGCUUGCUCCUGGAUUCAGCGGCGGACGGGUGGGUAAUGCCUAGGAAUCUGCCUGGUAGUGGGUGAUAACGUCCGGAGACGGGCGCUAAUACCGCAUACGUCCUGAGGGAGAAAGUGGGGGAUCUUCGGACCUCACGCUCUCAGAUGAGCCUAUGUCGGAUUAGCUAGUUGGUGGGGUAAAGGCCUACCAAGGCGACGAUCCGUAACUGGUCUGAGAGGAUGAUCAGUCACACUGGAACUGAGACACGGUCCAGACUCCUACGGGAGGCAGCAGUGGGGAAUAUUGGACAAUGGGCGAAAGCCUGAUCCAGCCAUGCCGCGUGUGUGAAGAAGGUCUUCGGAUUGUAAAGCACUUUAAGUUGGGAGGAAGGGCAGUAAGUUAAUACCUUGCUGUUUUGACGGUACCAACAGAAUAAGCACCGGCUAACUUCGUG
rnacentral:rRNA from 1 species